ACGAACGCUGGCGGCGUGCCUAAUACAUGCAAGUAGAACGCUGAAGGAGGAGCUUGCUUCUCUGGAUGAGUUGCGAACGGGUGAGUAACGCGUAGGUAACCUGCCUGGUAGCGGGGGAUAACUAUUGGAAACGAUAGCUAAUACCGCAUAAUAGUAGAUGUUGCAUGACAUUUGCUUAAAAGGUGCAAUUGCAUCACUACCAGAUGGACCUGCGUUGUAUUAGCUAGUUGGUGGGGUAACGGCUCACCAAGGCGACGAUACAUAGCCGACCUGAGAGGGUGAUCGGCCACACUGGGACUGAGACACGGCCCAGACUCCUACGGGAGGCAGCAGUAGGGAAUCUUCGGCAAUGGACGGAAGUCUGACCGAGCAACGCCGCGUGAGUGAAGAAGGUUUUCGGAUCGUAAAGCCCUGUUGUAAGAGAAGAACGAGUGUGAGAGUGGAAAGUUCACACUGUGACGGUAUCUUACCAGAAAGGGACGGCUAACUACGUG
rnacentral:rRNA from 1 species